UGCAGCUUUUAUUCACAAGAGUGGUCAAAACAGGCAGGGUCAAACACCAGCAAACAGGUACAAUCCAGGGCGAGACAAAAGAGCAAUCCAAUAAACAGUCCAAGGUCAA